rnacentral:tRNA from 1 species
GAUUCCGUGGUGUAGUGGUUAUCACAUUUGCCUCACACGUGAAAUGUCCCCAGCUCAAAACUGGGUGGAAACA